UACACAAAAAUGCACAUAUUGUGAGCUCGAUGAGUAGGGCGGGACACGUGGUAUCCUGUCUGAAUAUGGGGGGACCAUCCUCCAAGGCUAAAUACUCCUGACUGACCGAUAGUGAACCAGUACCGUGAGGGAAAGGCGAAAAGAACCCCGGCGAGGGGAGUGAAAAAGAACCUGAAACCGUGUACGUACAAGCAGUGGGAGCCUCUUAAUGGGGUGACUGCGUACCUUUUGUAUAAUGGGUCAGCGACUUAUAUUCUGUAGCAAGGUUAACCGAAUAGGGGAGCCGAAGGGAAACCGAGUCUUAACUGGGCGUUAAGUUGCAGGGUAUAGACCCGAAACCCGGUGAUCUAGCCAUGGGCAGGUUGAAGGUUGGGUAACACUAACUGGAGGACCGAACCGACUAAUGUUGAAAAAUUAGCGGAUGACUUGUGGCUGGGGGUGAAAGGCCAAUCAAACCGGGAGAUAGCUGGUUCUCCCCGAAAGCUAUUUAGGUAGCGCCUCGUGAAUUCAUCUCCGGGGGUAGAGCACUGUUUCGGCAAGGGGGUCAUCCCGACUUACCAACCCGAUGCAAACUGCGAAUACCGGAGAAUGUUAUCACGGGAGACACACGGCGGGUGCUAACGUCCGUCGUGAAGAGGGAAACAACCCAGACCGCCAGCUAAGGUCCCAAAGUCAUGGUUAAGUGGGAAACGAUGUGGGAAGGCCCAGACAGCCAGGAUGUUGGCUUAGAAGCAGCCAUCAUUUAAAGAAAGCGUAAUAGCUCACUGGUCGAGUCGGCCUGCGCGGAAGAUGUAACGGGGCUAAACCAUGCACCGAAGCUGCGGCAGCGACGCUUAUGCGUUGUUGGGUAGGGGAGCGUUCUGUAAGCCUGUGAAGGUGGCCUGUGAGGGUUGCUGGAGGUAUCAGAAGUGCGAAUGCUGACAUAAGUAACGAUAAAGCGGGUGAAAAGCCCGCUCGCCGGAAGACCAAGGGUUCCUGUCCAACGUUAAUCGGGGCAGGGUGAGUCGACCCCUAAGGCGAGGCCGAAAGGCGUAGUCGAUGGGAAACAGGUUAAUAUUCCUGUACUUGGUGUUACUGCGAAGGGGGGACGGAGAAGGCUAUGUUGGCCGGGCGACGGUUGUCCCGGUUUAAGCGUGUAGGCUGGUUUUCCAGGCAAAUCCGGAAAAUCAAGGCUGAGGCGUGAUGACGAGGCACUACGGUGCUGAAGCGACAAAUGCCCUGCUUCCAGGAAAAGCCUCUAAGCAUCAGGUAACAUCAAAUCGUACCCCAAACCGACACAGGUGGUCAGGUAGAGAAUACCAAGGCGCUUGAGAGAACUCGGGUGAAGGAACUAGGCAAAAUGGUGCCGUAACUUCGGGAGAAGGCACGCUGAUAUGUAGGUGAAGCGACUUGCUCGUGGAGCUGAAAUCAGUCGAAGAUACCAGCUGGCUGCAACUGUUUAUUAAAAACACAGCACUGUGCAAACACGAAAGUGGACGUAUACGGUGUGACGCCUGCCCGGUGCCGGAAGGUUAAUUGAUGGGGUUAGCGGUAACGCGAAGCUCUUGAUCGAAGCCCCGGUAAACGGCGGCCGUAACUAUAACGGUCCUAAGGUAGCGAAAUUCCUUGUCGGGUAAGUUCCGACCUGCACGAAUGGCGUAAUGAUGGCCAGGCUGUCUCCACCCGAGACUCAGUGAAAUUGAACUCGCUGUGAAGAUGCAGUGUACCCGCGGCAAGACGGAAAGACCCCGUGAACCUUUACUAUAGCUUGACACUGAACAUUGAGCCUUGAUGUGUAGGAUAGGUGGGAGGCUUUGAAGUGUGGACGCCAGUCUGCAUGGAGCCGACCUUGAAAUACCACCCUUUAAUGUUUGAUGUUCUAACGUGGGCCCCUUACCGGGGUUGCGGACAGUGUCUGGUGGGUAGUUUGACUGGGGCGGUCUCCUCCUAAAGAGUAACGGAGGAGCACGAAGGUUGGCUAAUCCUGGUCGGACAUCAGGAGGUUAGUGCAAUGGCAUAAGCCAGCUUGACUGCGAGCGUGACGGCGCGAGCAGGUGCGAAAGCAGGUCAUAGUGAUCCGGUGGUUCUGAAUGGAAGGGCCAUCGCUCAACGGAUAAAAGGUACUCCGGGGAUAACAGGCUGAUACCGCCCAAGAGUUCAUAUCGACGGCGGUGUUUGGCACCUCGAUGUCGGCUCAUCACAUCCUGGGGCUGAAGUAGGUCCCAAGGGUAUGGCUGUUCGCCAUUUAAAGUGGUACGCGAGCUGGGUUUAGAACGUCGUGAGACAGUUCGGUCCCUAUCUGCCGUGGGCGCUGGAGAACUGAGGGGGGCUGCUCCUAGUACGAGAGGACCGGAGUGGACGCAUCACUGGUGUUCGGGUUGUCAUGCCAAUGGCACUGCCCGGUAGCUAAAUGCGGAAGAGAUAAGUGCUGAAAGCAUCUAAGCACGAAACUUGCCCCGAGAUGAGUUCUCCCUGAGACUUAGAGUCUCCUGAAGGAACGUUGAAGACGACGACGUUGAUAGGCCGGGUGUGUAAGCGCAGCGAUGCGUUGAGCUAACCGGUACUAAUGAACCGUGAGGCUUAACCUUACAACGCCGAAG
rnacentral:rRNA from 1 species